CCUACGGGUGGCAGCAGUGGGGAAUAUUGCACAAUGGGCGCAAGCCUGAUGCAGCCAUGCCGCGUGUGUGAAGAAGGCCUUCGGGUUGUAAAGCACUUUCAGCGGGGAGGAAGGCGGUGAGGUUAAUAACCUCAUCGAUUGACGUUACCCGCAGAAGAAGCACCGGCUAACUCCGUGCCAGCAGCCGCGGUAAUACGGAUGGUGCAAGCGUUAAUCGGAAUUACUGGGCGUAAAGCGCACGCAGGCGGUCUGUCAAGUCGGAUGUGAAAUCCCCGGGCUCAACCUGGGAACUGCAUUCGAAACUGGCGGGCUAGAGUCUUGUAGAGGGGGGGUGGAAUUCCAGGUGUAGCGGUGAAAUGCGUAGAGAUCUGGAGGAAUACCGGUGGCGAAGGCGGCCCCCUGGACAAAGACUGACGCUCAGGUGCGAAAGCGUGGGGAGCAAACAGGAUUAGAUACCCGGGUAGUC
rnacentral:rRNA from 1 species